GAUGAACGCGGGCGGCGUGCCUAAUACAUGCAAGUAGAACGCUGAAGCUUGGUGCUUGCACCGAGCGGAUGAGUUGCGAACGGGUGAGUAACGCGUAGGUAACCUGCCUCUUAGCGGGGGAUAACUAUUGGAAACGAUAGCUAAUACCGCAUAAAAGUCGAUAUCGCAUGAUAUUGAUUUGAAAGGUGCAAAUGCAUCACUAAGAGAUGGACCUGCGUUGUAUUAGCUAGUUGGUGAGGUAACGGCUCACCAAGGCGACGAUACAUAGCCGACCUGAGAGGGUGAUCGGCCACACUGGGACUGAGACACGGCCCAGACUCCUACGGGAGGCAGCAGUAGGGAAUCUUCGGCAAUGGGGGCAACCCUGACCGAGCAACGCCGCGUGAGUGAAGAAGGUUUUCGGAUCGUAAAGCUCUGUUGUAAGAGAAGAACGAGUGUGAGAGUGGAAAGUUCACACUGUGACGGUAACUUACCAGAAAGGGACGGCUAACUACGUGCCAGCAGCCGCGGUAAUACGUAGGUCCCGAGCGUUAUCCGGAUUUAUUGGGCGUAAAGCGAGCGCAGGCGGUUAGAUAAGUCUGAAGUUAAAGGCUGUGGCUUAACCAUAGUACGCUUUGGAAACUGUUUAACUUGAGUGCAGAAGGGGAGAGUGGAAUUCCAUGUGUAGCGGUGAAAUGCGUAGAUAUAUGGAGGAACACCGGUGGCGAAAGCGGCUCUCUGGUCUGUAACUGACGCUGAGGCUCGAAAGCGUGGGGAGCAAACAGG
rnacentral:rRNA from 1 species